rnacentral:rRNA from 1 species
GACGAACGCUGGCGGCGUGCUUAACACAUGCAAGUCGAACGAAGUGGCGAACGGGUGAGUAACGCGUAAUCAACCUGCCCUUCAGUGGGGUACAACAGUUGGAAACGACUGCUAAUACCGCAUACUGAAGGAGGGGAUUGCGUCUGAUUAGCUCGUUGGAGGGGUAACGGCCCACCAAGGCGAUGAUCAGUAGCCGGGCUGGGAGGAUGAACGGCCACAAUGGGACUAGGACACGGCCCAGACUCCUACGGGUGGCAGCAGUGGGGAAACUGCCGGAAUGGACGAAAGGCUGGCGGGGCAAAGCCGCGUGAGUGGUGACGGCCUUCGGGUUGUAAAGCUCUGUUAAUCGGGACGCGGUACCGGAAUAGAAAGCCACGGCUAACUACGUGCCAGCAGCCGCGGUAAUAC